GAUGAACGCUGGCGGCGUGCCUAAUACAUGCAAGUCGAGCGAACGGACGAGAAGCUUGCUUCUCUGAUGUUAGCGGCGGACGGGUGAGUAACACGUGGAUAACCUACCUAUAAGACUGGGAUAACUUCGGGAAACCGGAGCUAAUACCGGAUAAUAUUUUGAACCGCAUGGUUCAAAAGUGAAAGACGGUCUUGCUGUCACUUAUAGAUGGAUCCGCGCUGCAUUAGCUAGUUGGUAAGGUAACGGCUUACCAAGGCAACGAUGCAUAGCCGACCUGAGAGGGUGAUCGGCCACACUGGAACUGAGACACGGUCCAGACUCCUACGGGAGGCAGCAGUAGGGAAUCUUCCGCAAUGGGCGAAAGCCUGACGGAGCAACGCCGCGUGAGUGAUGAAGGUCUUCGGAUCGUAAAACUCUGUUAUUAGGGAAGAACAUAUGUGUAAGUAACUGUGCACAUCUUGACGGUACCUAAUCAGAAAGCCACGGCUAACUACGUGCCAGCAGCCGCGGUAAUACGUAGGUGGCAAGCGUUAUCCGGAAUUAUUGGGCGUAAAGCGCGCGUAGGCGGUUUUUUAAGUCUGAUGUGAAAGCCCACGGCUCAACCGUGGAGGGUCAUUGGAAACUGGAAAACUUGAGUGCAGAAGAGGAAAGUGGAAUUCCAUGUGUAGCGGUGAAAUGCGCAGAGAUAUGGAGGAACACCAGUGGCGAAGGCGACUUUCUGGUCUGUAACUGACGCUGAUGUGCGAAAGCGUGGGGAUCAAACAGGAUUAGAUACCCUGGUAGUCCACGCCGUAAACGAUGAGUGCUAAGUGUUAGGGGGUUUCCGCCCCCUAGUGCUGCAGCUAACGCAUUAAGCACUCCGCCUGGGGAGUACGACCGCAAGGUUGAAACUCAAAGGAAUUGACGGGGACCCGCACAAGCGGUGGAGCAUGUGGUUUAAUUCGAAGCAACGCGAAGAACCUUACCAAAUCUUGACAUCCUUUGACAACUCUAGAGAUAGAGCUUUCCCCUUCGGGGGACAAAGUGACAGGUGGUGCAUGGUUGUCGUCGGCUCGUGUCGUGAGAUGUUGGGUUAAGUCCCGCAACGAGCGCAACCCUUAAGCUUAGUUGCCAUCAUUAAGUUGGGCACUCUAAGUUGACUGCCGGUGACAAACCGGAGGAAGGUGGGGAUGACGUCAAAUCAUCAUGCCCCUUAUGAUUUGGGCUACACACGUGCUACAAUGGACAAUACAAAGGGCAGCGAAACCGCGAGGUCAAGCAAAUCCCAUAAAGUUGUUCUCAGUUCGGAUUGUAGUCUGCAACUCGACUACAUGAAGCUGGAAUCGCUAGUAAUCGUAGAUCAGCAUGCUACGGUGAAUACGUUCCCGGGUCU
rnacentral:rRNA from 1 species